GGAUUAGCUCAGUUGGUAGAGCACCGGUCUCCAAAACCGGGUGUCGGGAGUUCGAGUCUCUCAUC
rnacentral:tRNA from 1 species